UCUUACAGGAGAAAGGGUUUGGGCCAGUUAUUCCUCUCACAUCCUACAUGGUGACUGACAGUGCCUACGUUUCCCAGAAUCCUCCACCUCUCCUAGUCCCACCUAUCUUGCUUUCCUAUUGGCCAACAGUGCUUUAUUCAUCAAUCAAUAAGACAAACAUAUACACAGAAGAACAUUCCCCAUCAGAAGACCCUCUUGAUGAUGUCAUUAUCAGUGGUGCCGAGCCUCUCUGGCUGUUUUAAUUUGUUUUCUUAUUGCUGUGAUGUACUCCAUGACCAAAAGCAACUUGGGAAAGAAAUGACUUAUUUGAUUCAUGUGUUCCAAUUAUAGUCAGUCAUUGAGUGAAGUACCAGGGGCAGGAACUCAAACAGGAACUGAAACAGAUGCUACAGAGAAAUGCUGCUUACCGGCUUGCUGCCCAUGGCCAGUUUUCUUAUACAGUCCAGGACCACCUGCCUAGGGAUGGCACGACACACAGUGGGCUGGACCCUCCUACAUCAAGUAUUAAUGAAGAAAAUGCCCCCGCAAACUUGCCUACAAGCCGACCUGAUAGGGGGAUUUACUCAAUCGAGGCAAUUUCUUCUCAAGUGACUUCAGUUUGUUUCAAACUGAUUAACUACACAGAGGCUCAAGUGUGGCAAGGGUGCCCUGACCUCCCCAUGCAAUCCCCCGUUCUCUGAAGUCCUAAGUCUAUGCAGCUGAAGUGCAGGGUGUUAGGGUUCCCUGGAUCUGUGGCGUAUUGUCACUUUUCUCGUGGCAGGGACAAAAUACCUGAAAAGGAGAGUUUGAGGGAGGGCGUGUUCAUUUGAGUAGCAGGAACAUGAGGGAGCUGGCCGUAUCACACACCCAGUCAGAAAUCAUGGAGAGUUGGUGCUCACUUCCCCCUCAUUGCCCAGGCUUAGGUGCUAGCCUGGGGAGUGGCGAUGCCUACCUACUGUCCCUAAUCCAAUCUAGAAACUGCCUCACAGACUUGCCUGGAGAGAGGUUUCCCUGUGGAUUCCAAAUGCCAUCAAGUUGUGGAAGAUGAACCACCAUGGGGUCAGUGCCCCAGAGGAGCUGAGACUUCCAGUCAAUUAGACUGCAUACUGCUCCAGCCGAUGACCACACUCUCCCAGCUCCAUAAGUUCCUGAAGAGCCUGGGAAAAUGGAUGGAACUAGAAGAAACCAUCCUGAGUGAAGCAACCCAGUCA